GAGGAAAAAAAAUCAAAGUUUGUAGUGAGUUGACUGCUGCUUCACAAAGACACAGCUGGCCACUUGCCCAUGUGAGAUGUCUCUGUGUAGACCAUAUACAAAUCCUGUGCUUGGGGUUGAUGGAGGAUAGAGAAGUUGCCUGCUCUCCUUGCCUGUCCUUCCCUACUUAAACAUUGCCCUGAGGGGUGUCAGCUCCUUCUCACUUCCCAGGAUUGUGUGCAACAUGGCAUUUCACCCAAGACCUGAAUGGCUGAGGGGAACAGAAUGUGAGCAGGAGCCUGCAGGAGUUAAUGAGGGCAGAGCACACAGCUGGAGCCUAGGAUUCAGAUAAGUCUGAGAGAAGCCAAAGUGACAAAUCAGCUGAGGAAAGUGAAAAGAGGAAGGUGGAAUCCUUGGCAACCUUGAGAAGUAAGGAGCCCACAGCACAGCCUAAAGGAGCAUCCACCAGGAGCAGAGGACCCCUGGAGAAAAUGCAAGAAGGCCAAAGGGGAUGAGAGAUUUAGGAGCUCAGAGAGCAAAUGAACCCUGGGAAGUGGCCACUGUCAUUCACAGAUGUCUGGUAAACUGGCAGAGCAGUCUCCCUGAGAUAGAGGGAGCAGAAGCGGUGAUGAUGAUGAGAAAGGGAAGAGGAGCUUACCUGUACUGCUGUGUCCCAGGUGGCAUUGAGUAAGUGGGAGUUGGUAACUAGAAUGUGAUGGAGGAGAGGACUGGCAAAGAGCUCUUUGUACCAAGGAUGGAACAUAGCAUGGUAGUAGCCACUUUUGAUCUAUCCAAAACCAGAACUGCUUUGUCACAGAACCAAAGAUUGACUGGAAGUUGGCAGGAUGAGGUGUGGUUAUUCUCAACUCUAUCCUGGGAGCCUCUCUCUUUUGGGGGAUCUAUGGCCUAUUGCCAGGGCCAACAUCACCUACACCAAUUUGGAGGCAGCUUUGUGAAGUAAGAAUAGGGCUAAUAUCCCAACUCUUCAUUUGGGGAAGUUGUUUACUCUCAGACUCAAUUUCUCUAUCUGUAAUACAAGAGCAGUAGAACCUUCCUUAGUUGUUAUUAACUUCUCAGGUAAUCUUUAGGGGGAAGAUUAAAUUAGAGUAUGCUUGAC
rnacentral:lncRNA from 1 species